GAUGAAGAACGCAGCGAAAUGCGAUAAGUAAUGUGAAUUGCAGAAUUCAGUGAAUCAUCGAAUCUUUGAACGCACCUUGCGCCCUUUGGCCAUUCCGAAGGGCAUGCCUGUUGAGUAUCAUGAACACCUCAACUCUUUAUGGUUUUCCAUGAUGAGCUUGGACUCUGGGGGUUUUGCUGGCUCACAGUCGGCUCCUCUAAAAUGAAUCAGCUUACCAGUGUUUGGUGGGUAUCAUGGGUGUGAUAACUAUCUACGCUUGUGGUUUUUCCACCAGGUAACCUUCAGCAGUGGAGGUUCGCUGGAGCUCAUAGAUGUCUCUCCUCAGUGAGGACAGCCCUUUGAAUGUUUGAUCUCAAAUCAGGUAGGACUACCCGCUGAACUUAAGCAUAUCAAUAAGCGGAGGA
rnacentral:misc_RNA from 1 species